GAGUUUGAUCAUGGCUCAGGAUGAACGCUGGCGGCGUGCUUAACACAUGCAAGUCGAGCGAAGCACUUUUGCGGAUUUCUUCGGAUUGAAGCAACUGUGACUGAGCGGCGGACGGGUGAGUAACGCGUGGGUAACCUGCCUCAUACAGGGGGAUAACAGUUGGAAACGGCUGCUAAUACCGCAUAAGCGCACAGUACCGCAUGGUACGGUGUAGAAAACUCCGGUGGUAUAAGAUGGACCCCGCGUUGGAUUAGCUUGUUGGUGAGGUAACGGCUCACCAAGGCGACGAUCCAUAGCCGGCCUGAGAGGGUGAACGGCCACAUUGGGACUGAGACACGGCCCAGACUCCUACGGGA
rnacentral:rRNA from 1 species